UCUUGAGACCGGCGCACGGGUGCGUAACGCGUAUGCAACCUACCUUUAUCUGGGGGAUAGCCCGGAGAAAUCCGGAUUAAUACCGCAUAAAAUCAUAGUAUUGCAUAAUACAAUGAUCAAACAUUUAUGGAAUGAAGAUGGGCAUGCGUGUCAUUAGCUAGUUGGCGGGGUAACGGCCCACCAAGGCGACGAUGACUAGGGGAUCUGAGAGGAUGACCCCCCACACUGGUACUGAGACACGGACCAGACUCCUACGGGAGGCAGCAGUAAGGAAUAUUGGUCAAUGGAGGCAACUCUGAACCAGCCAUGCCGCGUGCAGGAAGACUGCCCUAUGGGUUGUAAACUGCUUUUAUCCGGGAAUAAACCUAUUUACGAGUAAAUAGCUGAAUGUACCGGAAGAAUAAGGAUCGGCUAACUCCGUGCCAGCAGCCGCGGUAAUACGGAGGAUCCAAGCGUUAUCCGGAUUUAUUGGGUUUAAAGGGUGCGUAGGCGGCCCGUUAAGUCAGGGGUGAAAGACGGUAGCUCAACUAUCGCAGUGCCUUUGAUACUGACGGGCUUGAAUGAACUAGAGGUAGGCGGAAUGAGACAAGUAGCGGUGAAAUGCAUAGAUAUGUCUCAGA
rnacentral:rRNA from 1 species